UACGGUCACAUCUCAUUGAAACACCUGUUUCCGUACGGGCACCGAAGUUAAGCAAAGUCGAGUCUGGUCAGUACCUAGAUUGGUUACGGUUUGGGAAUACCAGGUAC